UGAUCAUGGUUGUGUCAUAAUUAUUUUUUUUUUAUUGGCAAACACACAAUAAGCAUAUAUUAGCAAGGAGCCCCAUGAAGCAAGCCCAAAAGCAUACAGGGGGUAUACAAGAGGCGCCCAAGGGCACAAAAAGAAAACGAAAAUACAAUACCAGCCCUCAGCUAGCACCUAGCCAAUCAAAAAAACCGAGUAAAGAGAGCGGACCUUCAUUUACAACUGAUUUAGACCACACCCAAAGAUUACAAACAAAAGAAUUUUUCAACCUAUUCAUCAAUAGCUCCUCAUUAUCAAAAGCGAUCCUAUUUCUUUCCUUCCACACCACCCAAAAGAUACACGAAGG
rnacentral:lncRNA from 1 species